ACGACUCUCGGCAACGGACAUCUCGGCUCUCGCAUCGAUGAAGAACGUAGCGAAAUGCGAUACCUGGUGUGAAUUGCAGAAUCCCGCGAACCAUCGAGUCUUUGAACGCAAGUUGCGCCCGAGGCCACUCGGCCGAGGGCACGCCUGCUUGGGCGUCACGC
rnacentral:rRNA from 1 species